ACCAAAAUUAUGUUUUGUGAGUUCCUGCUUGAGUUUCUGCACAGUGAACUUAGUAUAAUCUUCCUGAUCAGUUUGGUGACUCUGGUUAUCCUCAUCACCCUUGAAAACUGAACCACCAUCUUCUAGCUCUGUGCGCUUUAAAGGGCUUCUUGUGCUCCUGGACUUCUUAUUCGGUCUUAAACUAGUAUCAUUUGUGCCCAUGUCUCGAACAGAACCUACACCCAUCUCGAUAUCAUCAGUUCUAAUGCGUUUG
rnacentral:misc_RNA from 1 species